rnacentral:rRNA from 1 species
GAACUGAAGAGUUUGAUCCUGGCUCAGAUUGAACGCUGGCGGAAUGCUUUACACAUGCAAGUCGAACGGCAGCACGGGAGCUUG